rnacentral:rRNA from 1 species
UAGUCCACGCCGUAAACGAUGUCUACUAGCCGUUGGGAAUCUUGAAUUCUUAGUGGCGCAGCUAACGCGAUAAGUAGACCGCCUGGGGAGUACGGCCGCAAGGUUAAAACUCAAAUGAAUUGACGGGGGCCCGCACAAGCGGUGGAGCAUGUGGUUUAAUUCGAUGCAACGCGAAGAACCUUACCAAGACUUGACAUCCAGAGAAUUCGCUAGAGAUAGCUUAGUGCCUUCGGGAGCUCUGUGACAGGUGCUGCAUGGCUGUCGUCAGCUCGUGUUGUGAAAUGUUGGGUUAAGUCCCGUAACGAGCGCAACCCUUGUCCUUAGUUGCCAGCGAGUAAUGUCGGGAACUCUAAGGAGACUGCCGGUGACAAACCGGAGGAAGGUGGGGACGACGUCAAGUCAUCAUGGCCCUAACGUCUUGGGCUACACACGUGCUACAAUGGGCAGUACAAAGGGCUGCAACGCCGCGAGGUUGAGCUAAUCCCAUAAACGCGGCCUCAGUUCGGAUUGC